CCGGCCGCUCCGCGCCCACCUGUGGCCCUCUUGGCCCUUCUGCCCGUGCCUGGCCCCGCCGGGUCGCUCCCGAGCUCCGCGUUUCGUUCGCCGACCCCUGGAAGACUGCCUGGAGGCCCGGGCGCCACCCAACCACUGGCUAGGCCGACACUUUGCGCGGACCCUGGGUGUAAAAGGUCCCCGGGUCUCUGGUCCCGACGGAGCUGUGAGGGAGAUCAACCACGCCCCCUCCGUGGGCACCGUGGCGGCAGGGAAGGAAAAGGGCUCUGGGUCUCGACUCUCUUCGGGUUAAGAACCGACGGGGUUUAUUCUAUGCAAGGUGUUAUUAACUCCAACUCUCCCUUUCGUUCAUUCAUUCCAUAUAUGUUGAACGACAACUUAGUGCCAAAUGCCGGCAUGCUGAAACUCAGAGAGGGAAGAUGUCUUGCAAGUACAGCAGCCACACCCAGAGUUUCGCUCUUGUUCCCUGGGCUGCAGUGCAGUGGCACCAUCUCGGCUCACCGCAACCUCCGCCUCCCAAGUUCAAGCGAUUCUCCUGCCUCAGCCUCCCCAGUAUCUGGGAUUACAGGUAUGCGCCAGUAAAGACAGAUCUUGAGAACCCAAGAUCAUCAAGGAGUAUCCAUGAUCAAGCAGAGCAGGGAAGGCUUUUUGCUUUGUUUUGUUUUGUUUUUAACAUGCUGUGUGGUUCAGUAAAAUUAAAACAGGCACAAUGAUAUCCUGGAUGACAAGAGCUGGAGGCUGUCAUUCUAACAAUGUAGUGAGACUGGCUGUCUUGUCUCAUGCCCACCCCUGGAAACAUGCGCAGGAACUCAAAGCACCUAGCACAGAGGAAGUGUCUGGUUGUUUUAAAGGAAAAACAAAACCAAAAAAAGCACCUCCUGCUCUGACCACCCCUAUUUCCAGUUUUCCCUUUUGGCACAGCAAAGAUGACCUUGGGACUGAGGUGGAACCAUGUAAUUCUUCGUAAUCCCAGAGUCAGGCAGACCUGGGAGAUAACAUCCAUCUCGAAGGAAGAUCUGGCCUGAAGAGCAGUCACUCUUGCCUGGCAUGCAGAGAAUGCCAAAUCAUAUUAAUGACUGGCCAGAAUGAAGUGCGUGACCUCAUCACUCCAUAACUGACAGGAAACAACUGCUAGGGCAAGAAAAAAGGGUCUCCAGUGAGUAUUCUUGUCCACACACAUCCCCACUCACGUUCCUGGACCACUGCAUCUAACUGCCGCAGCAGCUAAUGAACCUUCUGGAAUAAAGGACCAGUUUCUUAAGAAGGGAUUGAGACCUCCAGUGGCCUCCCACAUUGUUUCCGGCAAGAAUUUAAAAAUUAUUUGUAACAUAUAGUAAUAAAAACUAACCACAGGCUGGGCGCAGUGGCUCACGCCUGUAAUCCCAGCACUUUGGGAGGCUGAGGCAGGUGGAUCACCUGAGGUCAGGAGUUCGAGACCAGCCUGACCAAUAUGGUGAAACCCUGUUUCUCCUAAAAAUACAAAAAUUAGCUGGGCAUGGUGGUGGGCGCCUGUAAUCUCAGCUACUCAGGAGGCUGAAACAGGAGAACUGCUUGAAUCUGGGAGGUAGAUGUUGCAGUGAGCCGAUAUCGCGCCAUUGCACUCCAGCCUGGGCAAUGACUCCGUCUCAAAAAAAAAAAAAAAAAAAAAAAACUAACCACAGCUACUAUUUAUGAACUCUAGUGCCACACCCCAUUUCUUCCCAGGUUUCACCCCCUCUUCCCAGGUUUCACCCACCCCAACCAGUGUUGUUUGCAACACUUCAGCUUCUCUCCUCACGAAGCACGUCUCCAGAGACGCCUCUUCCGCAACUUCCCAGGGAAGCCAUUUCUGCCUGGACCCACCACAGCUCCCAACCUGUCACGCACCCCUGGAGGGUUUUGCUCUGUAAUCCUGAUUUAGAAAUCCUCUUAUAUGAAACCACUGUAAUCCACAUCUGGUUAGACAAUUGGAAAAGUUCAUUGAAAGGAGAAAUAAUAAAAAUGGCAUCCAUCCCUUAAAUGUUGUAUGCCAACGUAAAACACAUUCGACAAUGACCCUGGGCUAAGGCUCUACCUUACAGAGAAACCUGUAUCGGUGUUCCCCUCCAUUUUCCUUACAUAAACCAACCAAAAAUCUUCAGUUGUUCCGUUCUCUGUCUCUCUCCCUCUCCACACCCACCUUCCCUCUUCCUCUCUCCCUCCCUCCCUCUCUCUUUCUCUCUUUUUUGAGACAGAGUUUCACUCUGUCACCCAGGCUGGAGUGCAGCGGCUAGAUCUUGGUUCACUGCAGCCUCCACCACUCCCCCCACUUCCCCCCCGCCGCCCCUGCCCCCACCGCAGCCUCCCAGGUGGCUGGGACUACAGGCCACCACGCCCACUAAUUUUUGUAUUUUUUCUAUAGAGACGGGGUUUCAUCAUGUUGCCCAGACUGGUCUCAAACUCUUGGGCUCAAGCAAUCCUCUCACCUCAGCCUCCCGGUGCUGGGAUUAUAGGCGUGAACCAUCGCGUCCGGCCUCCCAAAUCUUUUACAGUUGUCUUGUUCACUUCUCAUUCAGCAGCAUUUUGAGUUGGGAGGGGUAACAACUCACCUUAAUCAAGUCUCUCUAAAGCAUUCAACUUAGUUUUACUAGGUUCAUUUCUUGUAGCUCAUUGGUUUAACUAAUAGUUCCCCAAAUCACAUCCUACCAGUAUAAAAGCACAACUGGUAUAAACACGUUUGGGAACACACAUAACUCAAGUAUCAGGAUGUAAGAGCGAGAGCAUGGGGAGAGUUAAGAAUUUCUCACAGACUGAUUCCCUCCCACAUUCAUCCCUGGUGUGUUUAUCCGUGUUAGGGCUGUUCUGAUGAAAGUCUUGUAGGACUUGGCAGCAAGAUGGGAAAGAUCCAUGGAAGUCCAUUGCUCAUAGCUGAUGAUGAUCUCUCAUUGCUGAGCUUAGGGUUGAAAAAGGAGUGCCAGGUCCUUUGAAAUCAAGAAGAAUUUAUGAAUCACCUUUCAUUUAUGGAGCCCUUAGCUCAAAGCUCUAAAGUUAGUCUUUUCUCAAGAUUAUAUCCUAUUUGGGAAUGCUCAUAAUGGUCCAAUCACCAUUUGUGAAAACUUACUGUGUACCAGCAAUAAACACUCUUCUACAUAGACAAUCUCAUUCUAAUAUAAUUUCUGUGCACGUUAUAGAUUCUAUUUCUGAAACAGCCCUAUGUGGUAGUUUUAUUACUAUCCUCAUUUUCACCCAACAAAUCUGAGGCACUGAGAGGUUAAGGACCUGGACUGAAGCUGCACAGCUAGAAGGUGACAGA
rnacentral:lncRNA from 1 species